GUAGAACUCUAGCGAUGGAGGAGGAUGAGGAGCUGGAGAGAGGGAUGUUAAAUGUGUCUCCAUCUAAAUUUGUCACCGAACAACGUCCACCAGCAGCCGUGUCCAGAGCCACAGAUGUGUCUCCAGCAGCCGUGUCCAGAGCCACAGAUG